rnacentral:lncRNA from 1 species
UCCCCUUAAAGAUGGCUUGGUAUGUUUCACAAUUAGCUAUUUUGCAAGUCCAGUUAUCUUCUAAAAGCUUACUAUGAUAUGGUUAGCCUAUAAGGCAGUGUUGAUUUCCUUCCCAAUACCAGCCUCAUAAAGGGGUCCUGCUGUUCUUUCCCCAUAUUGCCUCAUUGUUCCUCUGUGGAUAUAUAACCAAAUUAAGAUUGGAUGAGUUUUAUGGAGAUAAUAAUAAGACAAUACUGUAUAAGUAAUUUUGCUUAAUAGAUUAUCAUCUGUGAGAAGAUGUUUAAACGUGGUUAAUGACUUCAUAUUAUAAAAGUUUUACACUUAAUAUUCAUGUUAAUAUUGGGUGCAAUAAUUUAGUAGUUAUAGCUUUAGUUAUAAAUAACUGGAUCUUUCUGCUGACAACUUAGGUUGUAUGAGUUACGCUUAAAAGCUUUAAAUCUGAUGUUUCUUGUACCUGCCACACUAUGUUAGAAUGUGUCCUUCAAACAUAUCCUCCUGCAACUUCUCAAACUGUACUAAAUUGAUAUUUCUUGAAGUCAAACUCUGUGCUAACAGAUCUUCAUUUUAAAUAGAAUACGGUUUUAAUUUUUGAUAAGCUGCUGAAUUUUAAAGAGAGUUUUUUGGGGCCACCAAAUAUUUUGGAUCAUGCAGAGAAUAUAUAUUGUACUGUAGUAAUUUUGUAUUUACAUUUGUAUGAUGUGACAUAAUAGAUGUGAAUGUUAAUCACUGCUUGACUAUGUUAAUAAAGUUGUUUAACUAU